UGUAUAUGUAUAUAUAUGUACAUAUAUAUAUAUAUGUAUGUAUGUAUGUAUGUAUGUAUGUAUGUAUAAGUGAAGACAAAUGGGUGGGAAUAUUAACAUAAUAUUCUAUAAUAAUGCUCUGUGGAAUAUACUACAAUUAGUUUCAAUGUGCAUAAUUGAAAUGAAGUUACAAAAAAGUGAAAAUUUUGUUUCGAUUUUUUUAACAGAAUAUUCGAAUGAUUUAAUCUAUCGAUUUAUAUAAUCGUAUUUAAUCAUCUUCCAUGUGUUUGUGGAUUUACUAAAAGUUGAAUCAGUAAUCUGAAAUAUCCUUGUACUCUGGAUAAACUAUAAAUAAGCUAUAACGCAUCUCUCUCUCUCUCUCUCUCUCUCUCUCAUUGAAGUAUUUUAUAGUAAUUAUGUAUAAUAUUUCACUUAGCAUUUUGCUGUACAGAUACUGAGUUAUGAAUACGCAGAGACUUAUAAUCCCGUCUUUUAAGUGGCCUUUCUAAUGAAGAUAAGAUAAAUUCAAGAUUUAGGAAUCAAAGAUCUUUCUAUAUAAUCAUUGAGCUUUAUUGAACAAAAGGAAUCUCAUAAACGUAUUUUCUUACAACGUACCUACAAUAAGCUUAUUGUAUGUGCUUGUUGCUUAGGUAUCUCUUUCUUUGCCGAAACAAUAUCUUUUGAGGUAAGAUAAUUUUUAUCUUUUCUUUUAGGAAGCAUCGUUUGUUUCUUGUUUUUUGUUUAUUUAAUUAUUAUUGUCAUCAUUAUUUUUAAUUAAUAUUAUGCCCGAGUUAUUUGUGCAGCUUUUGUCUUUUUUCUUUUUUUCUUUUUUUUUUUUUUUUUUUCUGUAAUUUUUUCUAGGAACGAAAAUAAUUGCGGUAGAUAAUAUAGAUCAAUAAUCGAUCAUCCUAUAUAGUUUUAAUAUUAAAAUAAUUAAAAUCACAAGCACAUCGCAAUAACUUUAUGCAUAGCAUGGCUUGAAAGCUUCAAGUUAUGAAAUUCUAAUAUAAUAUAUACAUGAUAGAAAACUAUGUAAGAGGUAACUACGUCGUAUCUAAACGUUCUUUUUCUUUUUCCUUUUCGUGAAAACGAAGAUAAAAAUCAUGAUUCUUCUAUUCUUUUUGACUAUAGAACUUUAACGUAACUUUUAACGCGAAGCUAUACAUGGACUAUUUUAAUUUCAACAGAACGUAUAUGUAUAUGUAAAUAUCGAUUCGCACGAACAUCCAUAUACAUACCUACACAUACUCACAUAGAAAGUAUAUUUUAUGAAAUGCUCCUUUAUCGGCACGCUUCUAACGAAACUUUAUAAAUGCAAUUGAAGAAUAGUGGAAAAGUUUAUUAGAUUGGAACUAUGCGCAAUGAUACCAUAGUUGAUGUCCUAGUUUUUACUCGACAAUACUUCCAUUCCAUCCACUAUUCCAAAAUUACUAAUUAAACGAUUGUGCUAACAAGACUUUAAUAAGCUCUUUGAUGUAAAUACAAGUACCUACGACCAUAAUAUCAAUAAGUACGAAGCACAAAUUAAUUCAAUAUUUUAUCGUUUAUUAAUACGAUAACAAACGAUUAUUAUAAUCUAUAACUAUCUUUAAAGGAUCAUCAAAGUCAAAGUGUAUCUCUGGAUGUACGAAUAUCUCUCUAUCGAUUUCCUUAUGAUUGGUAUAUCGUUAAACGAAUGAAAUCCCUCUUCAAGAGAUAUAACUAAUAAAUCUAUCGAUGCUUAGAAAUAAACAUGUGCCGUAACGCUAAUAAUAUCCAUCAUACGACAACGCAAUAUUUCUUCGAAUCUACUAUGUUGCAUAUCAACAUAUAUUUAAAUCCUCGUAAUCCUCGACUAUGUUUAAAAUGGUGCUUCGAUGAAAAAAAAAAAAGAAAAAAAAAAAGAAAAAAUAAUAAUAAUAAUAAUAAUAAUAAUAAUAAUAAUAAUAAUAACAAUAAUAAUCUCGUAUACAUGUAUUUUUCAUCGUAUAUUAUUAUUAUUAUAGAUAAAGCGACAUAAUAUUUUCAAUUUGUUUCGACGUCACGAAAGAUAAAUAAAAUAAGAGGCAUUUAAGUACAUUACACGCGAAAGUUAAAAACUCCUUUCACGAUGUACGUAUAUGUCUAUGUACAUAAAUACCAAAGAUUACACUUACAAUCUUUCUGAAAAAUAUGUAUCGAACUUAUCCUCUAUCGAUCAUCUUCGCGAUAGCUUUCUAACGUUAUAUACAAGAAAUUUGAGGCAUAUAUUUCAUCGAUUUAUGACGCUAACAAUGAUAAUGAUAAUGCAACGAUCUUUGUAAAAAGAAAGAAAGGAAAAAACAAAAAAGAAUUGCAAAUUAAGAAGGAAAACAAAAAGGAAACGAUAUCGAACACCAUUCUGUGUCCUGUCAUUGAACAUUAAAUGAUAUAUUUUAUCUACUCAAAUGGGCAUUGUCAUUAUCGCGUAAUAAGCAGCAUUAUUCGUUCAUCGAACAUAAUAUUAUAACAAUGUGCCAAGUGUUUUACGAAUAUUAAUGGACGGUUUUAUUGUAAAAGAAGCGUAAAGAAUGAGCUAAUCUUUGUGCACUUCUUCGAAACAACGGGCAUAUAUACAUGGUGCAUUAUUCUAGUUAUUCUUUUUUUAACGAGCGAAUUACAUUUAGAAAUUGUCUACGUCUACGGAAUCGUAAUUAUCGAUUUACCCGAUAUAUACAUACGUAAUUGAGACGUACACAUGAGUGUGUAAAGUAAAACAACAACAACAAAAGAAACACAAAGAAAAGAAAACAAACAUGUGCUAUAUAGAAGUACAUGCGUAACGUCAAGAUACCGGUAGACUCAUUCACGAUUUUCGUGCAAACGAGAGAGGCUCGUAAACGUAAAAAUAAAGGAAAGUAAAUAUUUUCUAUAUCUCGAUUAGCAAUCACGAUCGAAAUUUUCGUCGCGGCUAUAGCUUAUCGAUUUUCAAAUAAAUUCUACGAUAUAACUACGUAUGUAAUUAUAUCGGAAACGAGGCUUUUUCAUCUCGAUCUUUUUUCGAUGAUGUACCUACCUGUAUCUUGCAAUCUUCGUUCGAACGUUUAGUCCAAUCUUUGAAAGAUAGAAUCGAUAAUCUCUAUUAGCUAGAAUCUCUUUCACAAGUGCAAAGUCUCAAAGGGAAAAUGCACUAAACGGCAUGCUUAACACUAACAUGACACUUCUGUGUUCCUUGUCGUUAGUGCCUCAGUAAAGGAACUCAUUAUAUAUAUUUUUGACGCGUUUUAUCGUGUACAAUUACCUUAAGUGCAAUACUGUAAUAUAUAUUUUUUAAAGGAAUCGAACCCAGUAUUUAUUUUGUCAAACGUGAGCAUCGACGUAAGGCGAUGUGGGUGUACUUCGAGACGGUACCUCCUCUUGGACGAGUUUCUACAAAGAAAUUUUCGUAUUGCGAAACGUCAUGUACGAUGAAAGGAAAACGAACAUUGGAUUUGUCCUAACGAACGACGAAUGACGAACGAACGAACGAACGAACGAACGAACGGCUACUUUUCCUCUUUGAGAAUCUGCCGAUUAUAACGAUGUCAUUUUUAUUCGAUAUCUCUUACAUACGCCUCUCUCGAAGUAUACUCAUUAUAUUAUUGUAAUAAGUAUUACAGUAACCUGAUGAAUACUACUACUCUGUACAUAAAUACGUAUGUGCUUGCUUCCUAAUUAAAACAAGAAAGAAAGAAAGAAAAAAAAAAAAAAAGAAAAAGAAGAAUAAAAAAGAAAAAAAAAAAGAAAAAUAAAAGAAGUGAAACACGAAGAGGAUUAACUGGCGUAUAGCUAAAUAUAUAACACAUAAACGACGAUUUUUAUAUCAUUAACGAACGACAAAGAUAUUAUUAUUAUUAUAUAUCGAUGAUAUGUAAACGUGUACGCGCGCGCGUGGUUACAUCGUAAUACCAGCGACAUAUCUCUAUGGAUGACUUUUGUUUCGCAUAUGAAUAAAUUACGUCUUACGAUAUCGAAUAUUUUUAGGUUCUUUAGCCCCUUCGACUUCCUCCGAUAAGAUCUCAUCCUCAUAGUCAUCGUCCUUUUAGAUAUCAUUACUUAUGAUUUACGAUCGGCAGAAAACAGAGGCCGUAUAUGCUAAAAGAAACAUACUUUAGCAACAAAUUGCUUUCCCAUUAGGAGCUCGUUAUAAACUUCGCUUAAAUCAUGCAUGCGUUUCAUUUCAGAGGACAGAACGCACUCGGUAACCUGGUAGUAGGACCAACAGGUACAUACGCCAUACCUACAUACUACAACGUCAUGUGUCGUGGGCCGCAGAUAAAAGGCGAAUGGAGAAAUGAAAAGGAUAAAGGAAAACCGGUUGGAGAAUGAGAGGUGUAAAAAUUCACAUCGAUCAUCCAUCUUGUUUCUUCCCACGAGGGGAAAAAAAAAUGACGAGGCCGAUGAUCCUCGAUGUUGGAAGAAAAUAUUUUUUCAAGAUUUCCAGAGGGAGAGAUGAAAGGUUGCCGCAUCACAGUCCUUAAUCGCUCAGAUUAUUGGCUUACCUGUUCCAACAUAAUCGAUUCCAGUGUACGUACACAGGGAACUCCGCCAUAAUCACUUAUUAUAAAUCGAGUUGAACGCGUUCACGUUCAUCCAGCUGCAUUUGCCGGUGAUUUCAUUUGAACAAGGUAACCCGAUGUUUGUUCGAGGAAAGUUCUAAUCCCGGAAGCGAGUGCAUCGGAAAUGUUGAGACUCAUAACAGAAACUAAAUUAUGACUUCGACUUUAUCUUACCGAUAAAGUAAACCUUCUUAACGAAUCUCUUAGCAACGGCUGGGUCGUUUGUUCGUUCGUUCGAUCGUUUUUUUUUUGUUCGUUCGUUCGUUUCGUUAACGACAAUCCUUGGCGAAAAUGAUUAAUUUAUUUGUUAGAAUCGUGAUUCGUUUUACGAAGUAGUAAAAGAAUUCUAUCGCCACCUGGGCAAAUUGUAAUCGAGAACGCUCUCUCACGCGAAAUUCUCCAAGAGACAAAGAAAUAUAAACGAGUUACGAAGGUAAUGCCUUUGACUAUCGAUACGCAAAAUGAGAUUGGCCGAGAGUAUUUUUGCGAGGAAUAAGAAAACUAGGAAGCCUGUCUUGUUUCGUUUCUUAAGAGAAAAAGGUAGGGGAAGCAGGCAGACGUAAACAUAGAAUAAGUGAAAUUCACGCUUCAGA